GUUAAGUCAGAUGUGAAAGCCCAGGGCUCAACCUUGGAACUGCAUUUGAUACUGGCAAACUAGAGUAUGGUACAGGAAUGGGGAAUUUCUGGUGUAGCGGUGAAAUGCGUAGAGAUCAGAAGGAACACCAAUGGCGAAGGCAACAUUCUGGACCAAUACUGACACUGAGGGACGAAAGCGUGGGGAUCAAACAGGAUUAGAUACCCUGGUAGUCCACGCUGUAAACGAUGAGUACUAGCUGUUGGAUUCGGUGUAAAGGAUCUAGUGGCGUAGCUAACGCGUUAAGUACUCCGCCUGGGGACUACGGCCGCAAGGCUAAAACUCAAAGGAAUUGACGGGGACCCGCACAAGCGGUGGAGCAUGUGGUUUAAUUCGAUGCAACGCGAAGAACCUUACCUGGUCUUGACAUCCUGCGAACUUUCUAGAGAUAGAUUGGUGCCUUCGGGAACGCAGUGACAGGUGCUGCACGGCUGUCGUCAGCUCGUGUUGUGAAAUGUUGGGUUAAGUCCCGCAACGAGCGCAACCCCUAUUGAUAGUUACCAUCAUUAAGUUGGGUACUCUAUUGAGACUGCCGCUGACAAGGCGGAGGAAGGUGGGGACGACGUCAAGUCAUCAUGGCCCUUACGACCAGGGCUACACACGUGCUACAAUGGGUAUUACAGAGGGCAGCGAAGUAGCGAUAUGGAGCGAAACUCAGAAAGGUACUCUUAGUCCGGAUUGCAGUCUGCAACUCGACUGCAUGAAGUCGGAAUCGCUAGUAAUCGCAGGUCAGAAUACUGCGGUGAAUACGUUCCCGGGUCUUGUACACACCGCCCGUCACACCAUGGGAGUGGGUUGCUCCAGAAGUAGAUAGCU
rnacentral:rRNA from 1 species